GAUGAAGAACGCAGCGAAAUGCGAUAAGUAAUGUGAAUUGCAGAAUUCAGUGAAUCAUCGAAUCUUUGAACGCACAUUGCGCCCGCCAGUAUUCUGGCGGGCAUGCCUGUUCGAGCGUCAUUUCAACCAUCAAGCCCCCGGCUUGUGUUGGGGACCUGCGGCUGCCGCAGGCCCUGAAAACCAGUGGCGGGCUCGCUAGUCACUCCGAGCGUAGUAAUACAUCUCGCUAAGGGCGUGCUGCGGGUUCCGGCCGUUAAAAAGCCUUAUUUACCCAAGGUUGACCUCGGAUCAGGUAGGAAGACCCGCUGAACUUAAGCAUAUCAAUAAGCGGAGGA
rnacentral:misc_RNA from 1 species